rnacentral:rRNA from 1 species
GACGAACGCUGGCGGCGUGCUUAACACAUGCAAGUCGAACGGGAGUAUUGAAGAAGCUUGCUUUAGAGAUACUUUAGUGGCGGACGGGUGAGUAACGCGUGAGGAGCUGUCCUAUGCAGGGGGACAACAGCUGGAAACGGCUGCUAAUACCCCAUAAGCCGAGAGGUAAAAGGAUCAAUCCGGCAGAGGAGGUACUCGCGUCCUAUCAGCUAGUAGGUGAGGUAACGGCUCACCUAGGCGAAGACGGGUAGCCGGCCUGAGAGGGCGAACGGCCAACGACUGGAACUGAGAUACGGUCCAGACUCCUACGGGAGGCAGCAGUGGGGAAUAUUGGGCAAUGGGGGAAACCCUGACCCAGCGACGCCGCGUGGGUGAAGAAAUCCUUCGGGAUGUAAAGCCCUGUUGUAUGGGAAGAGCGGAAGACGGUACCAUACGAGGAAGCCCCGGCAAACCUACGUG